AUCCUUUUUUGGUUCAUAAGCAUGAUGAUUGGGAAUUCAUGCCAUUGCAUGCCGUGUACCGCCCACUAAACCUUGCUACGACGUUGGUACAUUAACUGUCUGACA